rnacentral:rRNA from 1 species
GAUGAACGCUAGCGGGAGGCCUAACACAUGCAAGCUGAGCGGUAUUGUUUCUUCGGAAACGAGAGAGCGGCGUACGGGUGCGGAACACGUGUGCAACCUGCCUUUAUCAGGGGGAUAGCCUUUCGAAAGGAAGAUUAAUACUCCAUAAUAUAAUAGAUGGCAUCAUUUAUUAUUGAAAACUCCGGUGGAUAGAGAUGGGCACGCGCAAGAUUAGAUAGUUGGUGAGGUAACGGCUCACCAAGUCAAUGAUCUUUAGGGGGCCUGAGAGGGUGAUCCCCCAAACCGGUACUGAGACACGGACCAGACUCCUACGGGAUGCAGCAGUGAGGAAUAUUGGACAAUGGGUUAGCGCCUGAUCCAGCCAUCCCGCGUGAAGGACGACGGCCCUAUGGGUUGUAAACUUCUUUUGUACAGGGAUAAACCUAUCUACGUGUAGAUAGCUGAAGGUACUGUACGAAUAAGCACCGGCUAACUCCGUGCCAGCCGCCGCCGUAA